ACACACCACUCUUUUGUAAUCACUUUUAAGGGUUUUUUAUAAACGCAGGGAAAGGACCUCUCUCCCACACCCCCUGUAAAAGGACCCCUUUUUUUACUAUGAGAGGCCCCCCCCUGAAUGGCACACGUUGAGAGGUUGAGCCCGCCACACCUGGCCUGGGAGGGCCAGGUUACCACCCCCGUUCAAAACCUGGAAAAUUUUCUUUCCCGUAGGGUGAACCUGCGGAAGGAUCAUUAUCGAGUUUUGACUGGGUUGUAGCUGGCCUUCCGAGGCAUGUGCACGCCCUGCUCAUCCACUCUACACCUGUGCACUUACUGUGGGCUUCAGAUCGUAAAACGGGUCCCUUUACCGGGCUUGCGGAGCGUGUCUGUGCCUGCGUUUAUCACAAACUCUAUAAAGUAUCAGAAUGUGUAUUGCGAUGUAACGCAUCUAUAUACAACUUUCAGCAACGGAUCUCUUGGCUCUCGCAUCGAUGAAGAACGCAGCGAAAUGCGAUAAGUAAUGUGAAUUGCAGAAUUCAGUGAAUCAUCGAAUCUUUGAACGCACCUUGCGCUCCUUGGUAUUCCGAGGAGCAUGCCUGUUUGAGUGUCAUGAAAUCUUCAACCUGCAAGCUUUUGUGGUUUGUAGGCUUGGACUUGGAGGCUUGUCGGCCGUUCUUGGUCGGCUCCUCUUAAAUGCAUUAGCUUGGUUCCUUGCGGAUCGGCUCUCAGUGUGAUAAUGUCUACGCUGCGACACGUGAAAGCGUUUUGGCGAGCUUCUUAACCGUACUUCUAGUUUUGGGGGAAGGAACACG
rnacentral:rRNA from 1 species